AGUAAUGCGUGACCAACCUCGCCCCAUGCUCCAGAAUAGCUCUUGGAAACGGGUGGUAAUGCUGGAUGCUCCAACUUGACGCAUGUCUUGUUGGGAAAGUGUUUAGUGGCAUGGGAUGGGGUCGCGUCCUAUCAGCUUGUAGGCGGGGUAAUGGCCCACCUAGGCUUCGACGGGUAGCCGGCCUGAGAGGGCGGACGGCCACAUUGGGACUGAGAUACGGCCCAGACUCCUACGGGAGGCAGCAGGC
rnacentral:rRNA from 1 species